rnacentral:rRNA from 1 species
UGCGGAGGGUGCAAGCGUUAUCCGGAUUCACUGGGUUUAAAGGGUGCGUAGGUGGGUUGGUAAGUCAGUGGUGAAAUCUCCAGGCUUAACUUGGAAACUGCCAUUGAUACUAUCAAUCUUGAAUACCGUGGAGGUCAGCGGAAUAUGUCAUGUAGCGGUGAAAUGCUUAGAUAUGACAUAGAACACCAAUUGCGAAGGCAGCUGGCUACGCGGAUAUUGACACUGAUGCACGAAAGCGUGGGGAUCAAACAGG